rnacentral:rRNA from 1 species
UGGAUCCUGCUGAGAGGUGGGAGUGCCCGAAAGGGAGCCAUAACACAGGUGCUGCAUGGCUGUCGUCAGCUCGUGUCGUGAGAUGUUGGGUUAAGUCCCGCAACGAGCGCAACCCUUGUCCCUAGUUGCUACGCAAGAGCACUCUAGGGAGACUGCCGGUGACAAACCGGAGGAAGGUGGGGAUGACGUCAAGUCCUCAUGGCCCUUAUGGGUAGGGCUUCACACGUCAUACAAUGGUCGGAACAGAGGGUCGCCAACCCGUGAGGGGGAGCCAAUCCCAGAAAACCGAUCGUAGUCCGGAUCGCACUCUGCAACUCGAGUGCGUGAAGCUGGAAUCGCUAGUAAUCGCGGAUCAGCAUGCCGCGGUGAAUA